AAAGGGAGAGAGAAGGAACAUUGGAACAUGGCAAAUAAAGUCAGACACAAAGAGACUAGAGAGUUUCAAUAGGAAGUCAGCAGUUUUCACUGCAACCAAGAAUAAGAGAGAGGUUUAAUUAUGUAUACCUACUGGCAAUUAUUUGGUCCUUAGUGAUUCUGGUUAGAAUAGUUUGCAGUAAAUGGCACAUGUAAGACUGUAGUGGAUUCAGGAGUAAGCCUGCUUCUCUUCUGUGAAUGAGAGGGAGAUUAGAUGAAAGCUAGAGGAAGAUUUAAUUUCAAACCAGGUUAUAUGGCAUAUUCAUAGACCAAAAGGAGAAGGCAUCAGUUAAGAGUAACAAACUGAAUGUGAUAAGAGAAGGACUAUAUGGUAGGAAAAGGUCCGAGGAGAGACAGAACUAAAGAUUUUAGGUGAAGGAAAUGCUUAAACAGAAAUAAGGAGACCUCAUUCUAGAAGACUGAAAGGAAGUGAAUUUAAGUUAGUAGAAGGGGGGAGUGGGAAUAUACAGAAAAACAUAUCUUACAGGCUUAUUGCUCUUGUUGAUUCAGCAGAUGAGAUGCUCUGCUGAGACAGCCUGGGGUCGAGAAGAGAAUGAUUAAUGUUUGGAAAAAUUGUUUUGGAAAUGGGAGAGAGAACUGAGUUCAGAUAAAAAAAAUGUUGAGACCCCUUGAUUUUGCAGAUUGAGGAUUUGUAGCCGUGUAUUACUUAUUUUUCCUAGUAGUGCUUGGCUACCUGAAUGUAGAAACAGAAAAUAUUUGUAGAAUUGACCUCUGUUUGAGGUUUUAUAGGGCAGAUGAGGUCCUCAAGACAGGGAUAUAAAGAAUGCUUAGCUUUCAUGCUACAUGUCCAAUAUAAAUUAGAGAUUAGGGCUCUCUGUGUAUUGUAAUCAAUCCAGAACCCAGGCUGAUGGAGGAUCCAUAUCCUUAUCUUCAUUAUAUACAUGAUCACUCUAGCAGGAGGAAAGGGUUUUGGCAGGCCUUAUACUGCUUAUUAAACCUUCUAACCAGAAGUGAUGCACAUUAAAGCUGUUCAGAUUUUGUUGAAAAAAUAAUAUCACCUGAUCACUCCUAACUUCAAAGUAGGUAGGGAACAAUACUAUCUUAUGCUCAAAACGAGGGACAGAAUAUUUGUAUUCCAAUGACUGGAACUUCUGUGAUGAUGGACUUUACCAUUCAGGUUCUUCUUCAGGCCUAGCCUAAUUCACCUACUAGACACUCCAACUUUGGUUCUUAGCCAGGUAUUCCUUAAUUGUUUCCUUGAGGACUCACUCUCUCUUCUCUUUUCUUCAUGUGAUUUCCAGAUUAAUGAUUUAUGUCUUGACCUCAUUGCUUUCUCUAGUCCAAUAAUGUAAAAUGUAUCCAAAAUAUUUCCACUUCAUGUGUAGCUUUUUAUACUUGCAGAGUAUUCAAAACAAUAGUCAGAAAGUAAUGUCUACUUAUAUUUCUCUGUUUUGUUAAUUUUUUUUCCUUUCGAUAGAUUGUCUCAACCUCAAAAACCUAUCUAGUUCCUCUUUCCAUUGAGAUCAGUUGUUUUUUUGUUUUUUGUUUUUUUUUUUUUGCUUUAUUAUUUGUGGAUGUACACAUAGCAAGUGUUCGAAAAACACUGGCUGGUGAUUUUAUUUUUUUAUUUUUUUCUAUUUACAUAAUUCUUUUUUUUUCCACUGUAAACAUGGUGACCCAGUUACACAUACAUGUAUACAUUCUUUUUUUCUCCCAUUAUACUUGUCUGUCGUAAGUAACUAGACAUAAUUCCCACUGCUACACAGCAGGAUCUCAUUGCUAAUCCAUUCCAAAGGCAAUAGUUUUCAUACAUUAACCCCAACCUUCCAAUCCAUCCCACUCCCUCCCCCUCCCCCUUGGCAACCACAGGUCUAUUCUCCAAGUCCAUAAUUUUCUUUUCUGUGGAAAGGUUCAUUUGUGCUGUAUAUUAGAUACCAGAUACAAGUGGUAUUUGUCUUUCUAUUUCAACUUCACUCAGUAUGAGAGUCUAGUUUCAUCCAGGUUGCUGUCAAUGGCAUUAUUUUGUUCUUUGUAUGGCUGAGUAGAUUUUAAUAUUUUUUUCACUUCUGUUUUAUUUUAGUCCUUAAAGAAUUAUGCUGGAAUCACUUUUUGAUGAAACAUUUUUUCUCCUGUACAAGGCCAGAGUUAAACCUGUAUUCUAUUAUUAGUUUUUAGUUUAACUUUUAUUGAUAAAAUUAGAUAUGAAAAGGUUAAUAAAUUACAUGUAUACACCUAUAUUGCUAUCAUCCAAAUAAAAAACUAGAGCACUAGAGUUCCUAUUGUAGCACAGUGGGUUAAAAAUACAACUGCAGUGGCUUGGUUACUGUGGAGGCACCAAGUUUGAUCCCCCACCUGGUGCAUUGGGUUAAAAGAUUUGGCCUUAGCAUAAAUACAGCAUAGGUUGCAACCGUGCAGCUGUGGCUUGGAUUCAAUCGCUGCCCCGGGAACAUCCAUAUGCCACAGAUAUGGCCGUGAAAAAAAAAUUUAACAGUAUUCGUGCUUGAGAGGUUCUGAUCUUAAUUCAUAAGGUUAAAAAAAAAAAAAUCAAUGCCCAGACCCUCACAAAACUUAAAACUAAAUCAUUAUCAAGAUGAAGUAGGAAAAUGAUAAUUUUGGAACAAUUUCUAUUUUUCCAUGUAUGUAUUUUUGCUUAAAUAUUUUUUUUUUUUUGUUUUUGUUAUUUCCCCAAUACAAAUUUUUUUCUAUUGUACAACAUGGUGACCAGUUAAACAUACACGUGU
rnacentral:lncRNA from 1 species